rnacentral:rRNA from 1 species
AACCUCCGCAAUGUGAGAAAUCGCGACGGGGGGAUCCCAAGUGCCAUUCUUAACGGGAUGGCUUUUCAUUAGUGUAAAGAGCUUUUGGAAUAAGAGCUGGGCAAGACCGGUGCCAGCCGCCGCGGUAACACCGGCAGCUCUAGUGGUAACAAUUUUUAUUGGGCCUAAAGCGUCCGUAGCCGGUUUAAUAAGUCUCUGGUGAAAUCCUGUAGCUUAACUGUGGGAAUUGCUGGAGAUACUAUUAGACUUGAGACCGGGAGAGGUUAGAGGUACUCCCAGGGUAGAGGUGAAAUUCUGUAAUCCUGGAAGGACCGCCUGUUGCGAAGGCGUCUAACUGGAACGGUUCUGACGGUGAGGGACGAAAGUUAGGGGCGCGAACCGGAUUAGAUACCCGGGUAGUCCUAACUGUAAACGAUGCGGACUUGGUGUUGGGGUGGCUUUGAGCUGCUCCAGUGCCGAAGGGAAGCUGUUAAGUCCGCCGCCUGGGAAGUACGGUCGCAAGACUGAAACUUAAAGGAAUU